UUAAGGACACUAAAUACAAUGUUUAACCAAUUUCCUAACUGAAAAAGACGCAUUUUAACUCCAAAGUGCCUAAAAAUUGGUAAUAAAAUUAGACGCAUCUUAAAAAAAAUACAAAAUCCUACUCCGAUUCGACGUAUCUCAAUUUCCCAAGCGAAUAUGACGGUUCUCAAAGAUGCGCCUUUUUCGCUUAGGAUUUUUGGUAAUUUUAAGCACAGUGCGCAUUUAGAUGCGUCCAAAUUAGUUAUGUUUUUACAUCGUAGUUUCUGUGUAAUGAGUUAGUGGUGGUAAGAACACACGAGCACCUGUUAUCGGCUGUUUAUAACCUAACUUUUAUGUGAAUUGUUGUAAUCGUUGUUUCAACAAAUUUGUUUUAUCGGAGUGAUAAACUGUGAGACUAACUAAAUACAGUGCCUAUUAUAAAGUUGUAACAAAAGACAUAUCGGCUACAAGACCCUUUCGACAGAUUCAAUGGACAGUACACAAGGAUUUCGAGGAAAAAAACUGAUCAUGUUGGCGAUGAACAAGGCAACUAAACAAGCAUUCCAACCCAAGGAAAAAAA
rnacentral:lncRNA from 1 species